rnacentral:rRNA from 1 species
GAGUUUGAUCCUGGCUCAGAUUGAACGCUGGCGGCAUGCCUAACACAUGCAAGUCGAACGGGGUGUAGCAAUACACCUAGUGGCGGACGGGUGAGGAACACAUAGGAAUCUGCCUCAGAGUGGGGGAUAACCCGGGGAAACCCGGACUAAUACCGCAUGAUCUCGCAAGAGCAAAGCAGGGGACCGCAAGGCCUUGUGCUCUGAGAGGAGUCUAUGUCUGAUUAGCUAGUUGGCGGGGUAAUGGCCCACCAAGGCAACGAUCAGUAACUGGUCUGAGAGGACGAUCAGUCACACCGGAACUGAGACACGGUCCGGACUCCUACGGGAGGCAGCAGUGGGGAAUAUUGGACAAUGGGCGAAAGCCUGAUCCAGCCAUGCCGCGUGUGUGAAGAAGGUCUUCGGAUUGUAAAGCACUUUAAGUUGGGAGGAAGGGCAGUAAGUUAAUACCUUGCUGUUUUGACGUUACCAACAGAAUAAGCACCGGCUAACUUCGUGCCAGCCGCCGCCGUAAU